UAAAUCAAACAAAAAUAAGGGCAGCCCGUGGAAAUAAGGAAAUUCCCCACCCACGAGGCUAUCAACCUGUGGACAUGGGAGGUUUCAUUUGCGAAGCUUGCUAGCUUGGCAACCCACAGACUCGCGUGGCUUGUGUGUGUCAGCCGCACAUCGCUUCACAUGUCCGCACGAGUGAACACUGGGUGUUUUGCUCGCAACCUGCGAAACACAGUCUGCUUACCAGCGAAAAACUUUCCUGCAAAUAGUUGGUCCGCUGGCGCAUUUUUGGCUUAGGUUUUGGAUUUGACGCCACUAACCCAGCCUUUAGUGCUGUUUUGGUUGCCUAGCAGAAGAAGCCCAGCUAGCUGGGCAGCUGUCAAGCUCCAACCUUCUUCCUUUGCUGGCUGCAGCCAUUUAUAGGCAUCAACGACCCCAAUGGAAUGCAUGUAAUCCAACGAUGGCCUUUUGAUCUCUAUAUCCCUUUUAAACCUUCAUGUUUCGAUCACCUUCUUUCUCAUUCUGUGCUAAGCAAUUUCGAGUACAAAUCGAGAGAAACAGAGGUUGCUAGUGAGGAAAGAGAAGUGUGCAGUGUUCAAAGAACAGACCUAUAUCGAGGGGGAGGUAUGGUGCGUGUGUUGGAGAAAUUCUCCUUACUAUUCCAAUUUAGGUGAGUUCCUUUCCAUUAUAACUUGUUUCCCUUUGAUCCCUUAGCAUCUAAGCAUCUAUUUUACAACUCUGCAAGUCCAAAAAUUGUUGCAAGCUUAAAAACCCAAGCUUCUUUGCGGCUGCACCUGCCAUCGUGAACUAUGCAAGUAAGACCUCUAUUUUCAGCUAAAUACCAUUUCCAUUUUCACUUCUUUUCACAAUCUUAGUGGUCAGCGGUUAGAACAAGUUGUUAGGAAUAUUAGAAUUUAGAAAGCUAAAUCACUCUUAAACUGAAUCUAACUCAAAUUGCUGCACGGGUUUUGCAACAGUUUCUUGGUGAGUUGUAGAACCGAUUCUCAAUCACAAACUCCUUUUUCCUUUGUGAUUUUGCGUCCAAAUUGUGAUCUUCUUUUAGGUAAGAUGGGGAAUAAUCUAGUUAUAACAUUUAUGAAUUGUGAGAUAAACAUUUGCAUCAUUAAGUUGUUUAAAAAAUAAAAAUAGAUUGGUGUUUAAACCAGAAUGGGUGAGUGAGUUCAUGAACUACAUUUUUUUAUGAUUAAUCUAUAAAUUAUGGAUCUUUUCAGGUUUGCUGAUGAUGAAUUGCUUGUUGGACAUGAUAUAAAGAAAUGAAAAUCGAAUUUGUAAAAUGAAAAUGGAAAGGAAUCGGUGACAAAAGCCAAAAUUGCUUCUGUCAAGCGUGCCAGGCACCAAAGUGCCGAAGUUGUCAGGCACACAUGGCCUAGCCGUGGGACUUCGUGCAAGGAAUGUCUUUUUGGGCACCUAAGAUCGCUGGAAAUAUCCUAGGCACGAUACUUUUGAGCAGGUUGCUACGCAGGUGAGUGAAUGACUUUGUUGGGCAUCCAUAGAUGCCAAAAGGGUCCGUGCGAGCAUCGUGCAUAAGGCGACAUACGCACACAAGUGCGCAAGGGAGUGUGCAGGUGCCCCCAAUGUGCAUUAGCCCAGGUCCCACAGGCUAUUUGCCCAGUGCAACAGGCCAAUGAGCCAUGCUGGCCAAACAGGCAUAAGCAUGUCGAAGGCUAAUAGAAAAGGAAGGAAGAGCAAAAAUGAAAUAAAAGGAGAACAGAAUGACAAAGAAAAUUUUUCUUCUGAAUUCUAUUUUUGCAGCUUACUGGAAUACAUAUACUUCUAUUUUGUGUUGUACUGUAACUGACGAAAACAAAAAUGGUUACAUUACAAUUAACUAAUUCACAAAUUAAGCUUAAUAUUUAAUUAAUUUUAUUACUCCCCCUCAAGAUGGAGAGUACAAAUUUAUUAUACAC
rnacentral:lncRNA from 1 species